rnacentral:lncRNA from 1 species
CUCUUGUUUCAGCAAACCCUGACUUACGUCUCCUAUUUGACUUGAGGCGGCACAGUGGCCAAGUCGAUUGGCCGUGGCAAGUGACCCUCCCUGUGGCUGAAGUGUUCUGAGGACUGGCGAGAGAGGCGCGCCAUGCUUGCCCCCUGUUCAGGUUGGGAGCUUGGCUGCUUCCGUCUCUGUCUCCGUCAGGUCCGACUGUGGGCUGGCGCUGGGCGCUGGUCUUGCUGGGCUUGCCAAGCCAGGCCGUACAGCUCAGGUAGGGGCGAGCGCUGGCCCGGAUCGGAGACUGAGGUCCCUCCGCCUGGCCCGGCGCGCCGAACUCUGAAGGAGUGGACACUGCAGGUUUAGAUAUCAAGUCAUCAGGGUCUGGCUGUGUAGAAGUUCAAAGUAUUGAGGGUGAUAAUUGCAAAAUUGAAACAGAGCAUGGGACUAGCAUCUUGCAGUCUGUUAAGGGUCAAAAAUUGCAUGUUCAAACAAAAGGAGGCAAAGUGAUCUGUCUGGGAACAGUUUAUGGAAAUAUAGAUAUUCAUGCAUCAGAUAAAAGUGUAAGAUUGAAACUUUCUUUUUUUUUAGUAAUUGCAACUUUGCUUCCAUU